UACGUAGGUGGCAAGCGUUGUCCGGAAUCACUGGGCGUAAAGAGCGUGUAGGCGGCCCGGUAAGUCCGCUGUGAAAGUCGGGGGCUCAACCCUCGAAUGCCGGUGGAUACUGUCGGGCUAGAGUGCGGGAGAGGCGACUGGAAUUCCUGGUGUAGCGGUGAAAUGCGCAGAUAUCAGGAGGAACACCGGUGGCGAAGGCGGGUCUCUGGGCCGAUACUGACGCUGAGGAGCGAAAGCGUGGGGAGCAAACAGG
rnacentral:rRNA from 1 species